AUACGGAGGGUGCAAGCGUUAAUCGGAAUUACUGGGCGUAAAGCGUACGUAGGCGGUUAGUUAAGUCAGAUGUGAAAGCCCCGGGCUUAACCUGGGAACUGCAUUUAAAACUGGCUAACUAGAGUUAAGUAGAGGGGAGUGGAAUUUCAGGUGUAGCGGUGAAAUGCGUAGAGAUCUGAAGGAACACCAGUGGCGAAGGCGACUCCCUGGACUUGAACUGACGCUGAGGUACGAAAGCGUGGGUAGCAAACGGGAUUAGAAACCCCAGUAGUCC
rnacentral:rRNA from 1 species